CAGAACCAAUGUUUCACACGGACAUUUAUUGAAGACGGAUGGGCCACUAAAAAACUUUUCCAAAAAUGACACAGGAAUACCUGUGUCCAGGAAAUGACAUCUAGGAAGGGAUUGGCUAGAUAGCCGUCAGCGUCGAAGGAGUAAUCUCGGCCACCGAGUGUGAUGUUGCUGAAGUACCUGUGUGGAGAUACAUGGAGUAGACAGAAAGAGACGAUCACAAUAUCAUCUGCGAACAUCAUGGUCCAAGGGGAAUCCAGUCGAACCUCAUCUGUCAGCCUAUUCAUUGCUACCGCAAACAGGAAGAGGAUCAGGGCGGAACCCUGAUGCAGUUUUUUUUACUGUAUGACCAGGAUAAGUACUUUAUAUGCAGUGCAUAUAAUAAGUCCAAAAGGUACUGUAUGUGGCUCCAUUGUAAUCCUGGGAGGCCCUUUAUUACAUAACCGACCAGAAAACUGGAACAUGGUCCUUCAGUUUGUGACAUUUGAAGCCACCUCCCUCCCCAUGAUGUCACACACCCUCAGAUAUUUGCAGAAGUGUGACACAAGCACCAUUCCAGCCACUUGGAAGAUAUAACCGGAAGGACUUCUUUGCUUAUGGAACCCUUUGCUCACACACAUAAUUUGAAUGAAUUUUAAUAACAUUAUCUGGGUCAUUUUCAUAUAAUUAGAUCAACAAUGGUAACCACAUGACCUGAAUUUUUUUUAGAAAAUCUUAAAAUGUUACUUACUGUAAAUGAGUGUUUGAAUUAUUGGCAGUUGUUAUCCAUCGAAAGAUAAUAUUGUGGUUUUCAAGCCGAAAAAAAAAAAAAA